UAUACUCAAACUCCUAUGAGUAUAGUUUCUGGAUGUUGAGUUAAAUGUUAUGAAUAACGUUCAUGGAGUUUAACUUCAAUACAACCGUUGUAUUAUUUCAUCUAUCUAUAUUAUAGCUACCACUGCGUGUUUUGUACACUAAUCACCACCGCAAAGUCUUUACCCCCACUUCUGAUUAUAAUUUCAAAAAUACCACCGUCCUGUUCAACAGGCUUAUAACCAAGCUUCUGCCGAAAGUUUUGAAUGUUGCCGCUGCACUGCAAAGAGUACAAACGAAUUCCAAAAAUUCAAAUUUGAAUGAAUUGAAUUCAAAUAAAAGAAGAUGUCCAGGAUCUCCUUCUUCCUUCUUAUCUUUGUUCAGUUUCUCCUUUUUUAUAUUCAUAAUAUUUUUUUCGUGUUAAACUUUUGUUGAUAAAGUGUUCGAUGAUUUGUCUGAAAGAAAAAAAAUGAUAAAUUUAUCAUUCUUUGUUCUUUCUUUAUAUAUAGUUAUGUUUUGAUUUAUGUAUAUCCACUCUUAGACUUCUGUUUGUUUUGUAGAUAACUUGAACGUUUGGUCGAUACAUGUAUCAGUUACAACCAUAAUUUGCGGAAGUCAUUUGGAAGACAUUGAAAUAAUGUUCUUUGGAGUUGAAGUAGCUCAUAGCCCCAUUGCCAGCAACCUACCCUUCAAACUUCUCGCUCAUUGCCCAAUCCAGCGAGUAUCACCAAUCACGAGCUUGCACUAACACACAAAACAUGUUAAAGCCUAGAUUACAAAGUAAUACUUUACCCAACUGAUCGACGGUUCAACUCAGCAGGAUGGAACCUGCUACAUCUUGAUUAACAUUAAAAAGUUGUUGCACUUGUUCACUCUUCGUCCGAAAAGAACAUAUGCUCCUUUCCCCAGCUUCUACAGCUUCCUCGAUAAGUUUGGAUUCGAAAAUCGAAAUAAAACUUCUCCACUGCUGAUUUCAGGCCGGAGAUGAAGAUAAUUCUUGGCGUUUAUUCACGUUGGAAGACAUGAUACAAGAUCAAGGUGGAGAUAAAAGUAGAGACCGGAGAUGCAAGGGAUGUGACAUUUAUAUAUUAAAUAAACAAAGACAAAUUACAUAUACAAAUUAAUUAUUCAACUUUAUUAAAAUUAUCAUCCAAAUAUGAUAUAAUAAUUUAUUUUUAUAAAGAAGUUAUAAACAAGGCUCAGCAACGUGGGCGUAAAUACUAGUAUAUAUAAGGCUGAUUUUUUUCAAGAAAAAUUGACAACUCACGAUCUUCAAAAAUAAUUAAUUUCUUUACUGAACUUGAUUGCCUACUAUCAUCAUAUUUGUUUAGAGAAUUUAGUUUGAGGUGUAAACUUUCUAUCUUUUGUAAUAAAAAAUUGUAAUUGAUAGUCACUAAAAUUAGCUGGGUUCUAAGAACAAGGAGUUAACCCACUUAGGUAAGAUCGUCAUAAUAAUUCUGAGCUGGAUAAGGUUCAAACAAUAGAAAAAUUCAAGGGGCAGAGCACAAAAAAUUCAGAGGUUCAGGAAAACGUUGCACAAGAAAAUUAGUGUCAAGCUAUUUACGUUUGCUCACGAAAACAUCAAGCUUUCAGUGACCGGGAAAAAGAGAGAUAUAUUAUUAUUCCAUUGUUAUAAUCUCUUUUUUGGGAUUAUACUUCAGUCAUAUUUGAUUAAGUUUUGGCAUGCUUAUUACAAUCCUUAUCUCAAUUACGAAAAUUAAAGUUUUUAUCUAAUUCGCUAAUAAUUUAUAUAAUGAAAAUAUUUAUUAUAACACCUAACAAUAUACAGCAUAUUCUUCAUAUUUGUUAAAAAAUUGAAAUGAAUGUUUUUUUAAUAAUAAUUUCGAGGUGUAACAAAAGAUAUUGUAAAUAUUUAUUUAUAUUUUCUGUUUUUGAGAAUGAUAUAUCAAAACAUAUUUUUUAAAUAAAAUGUUAACACCCAAUCAGAUACAUACUUAUGAAACACUGAAUAAAGGUUCCAACUCAAUAUUUAUCACCUUUUUGGAGUACAAAGAUAAAAGUAAAAGCAUUAAUAAUAAUGUUUGUUUCAGAUAUUUUAGUGAAGAGGUCAAUAUUUACAUGUUUUUUUAACGUUACUCACGCAACUUUCUUAAAAUAAGUGGAAAAAAGUUAUUAUUUUAUUCAUAUUUUUUCCUUCCAUGGACAUAGUCACUAUAUUUUAAAUUUUUAUUUCUGUAUUUUGCUAAUAUGUAAAUAUUAUUGAAAUAGAUACAUUUAUGUAUAUUAUAAAAAAAUUUAAAAUUAUCACUAUAUGACUCGGGUCCAGUUGGGGAACUAUAAUACAAUUAUUUGCAAAUUAAAAAAAGUAAUACAUUAUGCAAAAAACCAAAAUUUAAACGUAUCAUAUAAAAUAUAAAACACAUUAUACAAAAGGAAGAAUAGAUCGCAACUUUAAAACUGAUAACACAGUAUUUUGAUUAAUAAUUUUUUCUUCAUUUAUAUUUAGUAAUAAUGACAUGUUCAACAAUAUAUAAUAGAAAGUAUUAUCAAGCAUAUUAAUCAAUAUUAUUCUGGAUAUAUGUAAUUUGUUCAGAAUAGGGUCAAUUAUUAAAUUUAUAAUGACGUCGAAAAAUGACAUCAACUAAAUCAUUGGUCUCCACGGAAUCUCAUUUGGCUCACUAAAUUGAUUUGAUAGUAUUGAAAUCAUUCUCGUCGUUAAAAAAUUAACAGAAGCACAGAUGAAAUGACAAAUGAAAGAGGCAAUGACAGUUGGCAGGACAUAUAUGUGGCUAGUUUCAAUCUUCUUAGUUUAACGUUAAUCGUUGUAAUUUUUUUGGGGUUAUUUGUACCAAACAAAGACAUGAAAAUAAAUAUAUGUAAUUUUUUAUUUGUUUGUUUUGUAUCUUAACUUUAUCUUAGCUGAUGUAUGCAUUUGAAAAUAAAUGAGGAGAAUGUAACAAAAUAUUUGGAAAUAAAUGUUUGGAAAUAAAUGAAGAUUAGUGUUAAUUAGGCUUGAUUUGAGGAUUAGGGUUCUUCCUGCGGAUGAAUCCUCUCCUUCUCCUUCGAUAUGAAUGUAUCAACAUAUGUGUAAGAAGUGUAACUAUAAAUGAGUUUAUAAUUGAGUUUUUCUGUUUCUUUCUUUCUGAUUUUCUUUGUUUUAAUUUUCUUUGUUUAUUUUAUGUGCAGUCUUUUUAUUACUCUGCCACAUCACCACCUAGUUGAAUCCCCAUUUAACUUUCCCUUAGUUUUCUUUUAAAAGUUAAGGGCGAUGAUGAUUUUGGUACCAUCAAAUCAGUUUAGUGAGCCAAGUGAGACCUUGUAGAGUCUAAUGAUGUAGUUAAUAAUUUUUGUCGACUUCAGUAAUGAGUUUGAUAAUUAACCCAUUUAGAAUAGGGUUUUUGAUACCGUUUUGAGUUCAGUGACCAACUUGAUACAUUAAACCCACUUCAGUGACCAACCAGAUAAUUAACCCUUCAAAAUAGCAAUAUAAUUCAUUCAGGGUAGCAAUUAUUCAUACUAAAAGUGAGAUCCAGUGGAGUUUAGUUAUCAAGUUGAUAUCUUUUGUCGACUUCAAUAAUAAGUUUCAUAAUUAACACGUUCAGAAUAGUAAUAUAGUUCAUCCACAAUAGCAAUUAUUCACGAGUAAUGAGGGACCCGGCACGCGUAGCGAUCAAAAUUCUAUAGAUUUGCUUCUUAUACUGCAAAAUUUGAUAAACAAUUUCAAUAGUUUUCAGUCAAAUACAGUACUUCAAUUGACCCUCCACAGUCCAAGCCACACCAAUGCACAACAAAAAUUAUUAGGAUACACUGUAUUCUUACUACAAUUCUCCAGGCACAAGAUACAGCAAAUGUAGUCUUAUGAAUUAGCAAAAAAAAAAAAAACAUGUAGUCACAUCUUUACAUACAGUAAUUGUAGCGAUACUCCAGAAACAAUUACAAAAACGGCAAUUAUAGUUCCCAUAAUGUCUCAAGGCAUUUUCCAAGUUAAUUCAGAAGAGAACCUUUACACAAAUUUCCAGCAAGUAAUAAAGAUAAACAGAAAUCGGAGAAAAAGUCUAUAAGAAACAAGACCAAAAAUUUCUCCUAGCCAGAUUCAGCAACAAUAAUUAGCAAAGUAAUUAGAAGUGGGCUUCAAAAUAAAUCACUUCUUCCUGGCUCACCAGAUUAUGUAUAUCCAACAAUAAUGGCACAUUAAACCAGGAAUUCACCAUAAUACAUACUAUGUCACCCAGCAAGAAAGUGUCACAAUUGUCCUACUCACUCACUAUGUCC